UACGUAGGGGGCAAGCGUUGUCCGGAAUCAUUGGGCGUAAAGCGCGUGUAGGCGGCCAGAAAAGUCCGCUGUGAAAACUCGAGGCUCAACUUCGAGCUGUCGGUGGAAACUUUCUGGCUAGAGUCCGGAAGAGGAGAAUGGAAUUCCUGGUGUAGCGGUGAAAUGCGCAGAUAUCAGGAAGAACACCCGUGGCGAAGGCGGUUCUCUGGGCCUUACCUGACGCUGAGGAGCGAAAGCUAGGGGGAGCAAACGGG
rnacentral:rRNA from 1 species